rnacentral:rRNA from 1 species
ACAGAGGGUGCAAGCGUUAAUCGGAAUUACUGGGCGUAAAGCGCGCGUAGGCGGUUGUGUAAGUUGGAUGUGAAAUCCCCGGGCUUAACCUGGGCACUGCAUUCAAAACUGCACGGCUAGAGUAUGGGAGAGGAAGGUAGAAUUCCAGGUGUAGCGGUGAAAUGCGUAGAGAUCUGGAGGAAUACCGAUGGCGAAGGCAGCCUUCUGGCCUAAUACUGACGCUGAGGUGCGAAAGCAUGGGGAGCAAACAGGA